CCUAUGAUCUCUUCUAGGAGUUUUAUGGUAUCAUGUCUUAUAUUUAAGUCUUUAAGCCAUUUUGAGUUUAUGUUUGUGUAUGGUGAGAGAGCACGUUCUAACCUCAUUGAUUUGCAUGUGGCUGAGACCAUUCCUCUUAUAGAUAUUUGACUGCAUUUCUUCUUAUUUUAAUUUUUAUUCCUUGAUUUUAUCUUUCAUGGAUCUCACCUCAAAUCCUUCUGUAUACUCUGGUGGGAUGACUAAUAUCCUUGGAACUUAAAAUAUUUGGCAUAUUUAAACUUAAAUUCAAAUUCCCCCAUUUCCAAAUUGCAUAAGCUUGCAGAAGGUAUUUACCCUUCUCUAAGUCUCCAUUUUCUAAUCUAUAAAAUGAUGAUGAUAAUUCGUUUCUCACAGAGUUCCUAUGAAUAAAUGAGAUAUCAUUUCUGGCUUUUAAGUCAAUAAAUGCUAGUAUCGAUUGAUCGUUUACCCCGUGAUAAUUUACUCCUCUUGGAAUCACACUAUUUGGAUAGGAUACAUUUUUAACCUUUUUUUUUUUUUAAUAAGAAGGUGACAUUAUUGAUCUGCUAUCAGCAGAAGAUUCUAUUUAUUUCCUAAAGAAGGGAGAAGGGAUGGAUUUGCAUCAAGUCAUUUACAUUUGCGUCUCAGGACCUCUACAAAUAGCGCCCAUGCUCUCCAAUACUUUAUCCAGCAACAGUUUACCUGACAUCAGCAAUUAAUAUAAUUAACCUUUUAGAAUUUUGCCAAAUUGAAUAGACAGAAUGAUUCCAGACUCCAAGAAAAGGGUUAAGCAUGAGUAAAUUUGGGUUGCAUUGGUACCACCAUCAGUAGCAUCCAGUCAGUCCAGACAAUCUUUUACUGAAGAUUGUCUUCACUUAGCUUUUUCAAGUGGAUACAGUGGCCUUGUAUAAAGCAGGUACAGUUAGCUUAACAGUAGUGAAAAAUUGUUCACCCUACCCAAUAAGCUGUAGAGUGUGUGGUGAUUUCCAGUUCCAGGAACUACUUUAAAUGAAAAUGGCUCCUUUUGAGUAAGACACAUGGGAGAUGUUAGGUGGGGUUUGACCUACAAAGGGUUAACACAUCAAAAUUAAUUUUGGAGGAAAAUUAAGAUUCUCCUCACAGUCUCAAGGCUUUCUUCUCUAACCACAGUGCAGACACUAUCAGUGAGCAGAGAAUCUCUGUAUUAUUUCCAAGUUUCUCCCAUUGUCAGUCACUGUGACAAAGUGCUGGCCAAUUUGACACAAUGAUGAAUCACUCCAGACACUGAGUUUUCAUAUGGCUCUUGAAGCUUCUCAGGAGACUCCGGUGUCUGGAAAUGCCACAGACCAGCACUGGGUGCUCUGCUCAGGAACAAAGCCGGGACUUGGCAAAAAUUAAACCAACGCAUUUUAGAGAAAAGAGAUAGAUGAUGCUAGCAGCCCUGCCCUGUGAAGUCUUUAAAGUACAUUUGCAAGAAGAAACAAACAAACAAACAAAAACCAUGAUUUAUCCGGUCCUCGGGAGGGCUAAUGUUAAUCACAAUGAACCUAAGACAGAAGCACUGGAUUUUGCAGACUGUGGAGAUUAAGUCAGAAGCAAGGAAUUACUGAGAGAGAUGAUGGAGAUUUUGCUAAAUUGAAAACAAAAGUCAAAGCAAAUUCAUAAAAAAGCUGGGAAGUAAAAUCAAUCAUUAUUCAAAGUCCUCCUUUUAAGCUCUAUCCGCACAUUGAAUUUUGGUUUAGGGGUCUCUGGUUGGAGCAGAGGGUUGCUUGAGUGAGUUUAGAAGGUGGCAUCUGUUUAAGUAACAGAUGUCUGUGUCACUGAGGUGCUAUGUUCUCACUUUUUAUAUAUGGGGAAACUGCUGCUGAAAGAGUUUUAUUGCCUUUAUGCAAAUUAAAAUACCAUAUUCUUCUCCUUAAAGGGUUCCUCUUCCUGAUGUGAAUACACAACAACCAUAAACGACCUCAACCUCAUCAAUUUUUUUAAAAACUAUUUUGGAAUACGAUAGUUUCUUAUGAACUAUCAAUGAUGCAUGAAAUGAGGUCUGGAACUGCAGACAUGCGUACUCUUAUUUAAAGAGGGCUCACUGGGUUGAAGCAAACUGAGUAGGGAGAGAUGAGGAAGAGUGAAGUCAUCCAAAAACACCCUCCAAGUUGACACACAGAAUUAACCAUCACAAAUAACAUGGGAAGUAUGCAUAAAAAACUGCAUUUCUGCCACGCCCUGAAGGACGGUGGUUAUCCUGAAACAAAGCACUUGUGCAACUGUUUGAGUUGCAAGCUGAACUACUCAUUUCAUUCAUGAAUGCCAUUUUUACUUGAAAGUAUGAAAGAAAGACAAACUAUGGUUAUUCAGAUCUGGGUAUUUGGGAAACAUCAUGAAAAUGAAUUAAAUCUAUCACUGCAAGGAUAUUUUUUGCCAGUGAUAAAAUUCAGGCUUUCAAGUGAAAACCUGAAUUUUGGAAAGCCUGUAUCCAUCUCCAUGAUCUUGCCAGCUUCCCAAUAUUUUUCUAAUGAGUUUGGUGGUAUUACAAAUAAACGUCAGUUUUUGAUACUGUAUGAUGAAAUUCGUGAACAUUUGAAAGAUCUGUGUAACUCAGUGAACCAAUAUUUUCCAAGUUAUCAAUACCUGAUGUUACAGAAUGAUGCAUAGUGAAAAGAUCCAUUCAAAGUACGAGAUGAUGAGAAAGGAAAAUGGAGCUGUAGGAAUCAGGCUCCCUGACUUCACUAUACUACAAAGCUACAGUCAUCAAAGUGCAAGAUGAGUUAAUGGAUUGUAACAGAAGAGAAUAAGAAAAGUCCAUUGAUAUGGAUUCAGCUUCCACACACAGCUAGCCUUUAAGAAACUACUACUUGUUGAGUUUUGGUGUACCAUCAAAAAAAAAAGAGUAUGUUUUACAAUAAUCUAGAAAGGCAGAAUUCUCCUUACUUUUCCAACUACAUGUCUGUCUGAGCACAGAAUUUCUUCAUAUAUUUCUGCAAAAACAACAUAAAACAGAUUGAAUGCAGAAGCAGAUAUGGGAAUCCAGCCAUCCUCUAUGAAGCCAAACAUCAACAAGAUUUAUACUCACAGAGAUAGGUCUUCAGAUACUAUUGAGUUGAUUGGCUUAUUAAAAUAAACCUGGAAGACCUUUUGUCCAAAUUAUCUUCUUAUGGACAAUUAUAGAAAUUAAAGCGACUUCACCGGCUCAUGGGAGUCUCGUAUUUUCUAAGAACAAUUGAUCCUACACCCACAGAAAUCAUGUAGCUGUGGUAAAUCAAAUAUUCCCAGGUAUCAGCAACCUAGUCCUAGGGAGGACAAAUGAACUUUAAGGCACUACCAGGUUCAUUUAGCCCCUCUUGCCUACUUCAGAACCUCAGCAUACCUUCUUCUGGUCCUGCACUUCUCCCACCCUACCAGUGUUUCUGAAAUCAUCAAAGUGUUUUUCACAAAUGUAUGUGAAUCAGUUAGUCCACUGGGAGCCUCUUGCCCUGCUCUGUGUAGCUCAAGCCAGAGCCAAUAUUCUGUAUGCUUUCCCUCAGGCUACUUAAAAUGAG